CGAAAGCGACUUCUGCCAGUAUCCAAUAUGGUGGCACGAACAGGAAGUCACGUGAUGCGACACCAAAGAGGGCGUCUUAACAAGAAGUGACUUCUGCCAGCGCCCAAGGCAGCGGACUGCACCGGAAGUCAAGUGACGUCACACAGAAGAUGGCUUACGGCACUGGGCUUAUUUGACCUUCCAAAGAUGGCGGUAUUCUGCGCAUGCGCUUUGGGUAAGGGGCGGGGAUGGCGUCCUAGAAGGAGCGCUCGCCUCUCCAAAAUGUGUGUUCGAUUGCCUGAACCCCACCCCGCGCUUCCACAGCGAUUUUCCACGGCGUUUCCCGGUCCCAGGGCUAAGCUGGAGAAAAGGUGGAGAGUGGCAAGCAGGAGUCCCAUGUUUGGAUCCACCCUUGGAUUCCAGUUCCUCCUGGGGGUUCUGUGCUGCCCAAAGUGUAAAGAAAGGAGUCUGGGUGCUUUGCUCUGCCCCAAAGCAUGUUUUGCUAACAAAAUAGUAACCCUUAAAAGCAACAGUCUAUUGCAUAUUCAUAUAUCUCAUACAUAAUUCAAACAUUCCUUUCAAACUAAGGGUGCUUCUGCUUAAUGUCAGCUUCCCCCCUCACCUUGUAAAUCAGUCAUCUGGGUCCCUCGAAGUCUGGGCUAUCCCGAUAAGGAGGCAAUAAUUCUUCUCUUGGAAUCUUGGUGUCUUGUUACUCUUAUCUCUAUGUGAAAAAUUUUUUUAUUAUCUUACUUUUUGUAACUAGCUCAAUGAAUGGGUAUCUUACAUCAUAUAGUUUCUAUUUUAAUAUUAUGCUAUAGCCUAAAAACUGUAUUUACCGCACUACUUGAAAAAUAUUAAUACAGCAUAACUUUGGAACAUAACAUAUAUAAGUAUUCAUUUUAAUAUUUGCGACGAGCCAAUCAUAUAAUAAGCAUAUUUCACCCCCACCCGCCUUUCCCUUCCGCUCCCGCUUCCCUGCUCACCCCCACUCCCCUCUCUAUCACUCGUCACCCGCCCCACAUCUCCUCUCUCCCCAUCCUUCCCUCUCCCUCCUUCCCGCAGCCGCGGGGCUCGGGGUACUGGAGAACAAAGCCCAGGGAGCCGGAGCCCGGCACCCCCUGCCCUCGCUGGAGUCCCCACACGGGGCCGGACCCGCUCGGGGUCCGCAGUGCUGUUCCCCCAGCGCCGGCACUCGGGCUCCCACACAUCACACGGGGGGCACCGGGAUCCCCCAACCCCGGGACCCCUCCGGAGCGGGGCUGCGGCGGGA
rnacentral:lncRNA from 1 species